UACGUAGGGUGCAAGCGUUAUCCGGAAUUAUUGGGCGUAAAGAGCUCGUAGGCGGUUUGUCGCGUCUGCUGUGAAAACCCGAGACUCAACCUUGGGCCUGCAGUGGGUACGGGCAGACUAGAGUGCGGUAGGGGAGAUUGGAAUUCCUGGUGUAGCGGUGAAAUGCGCAGAUAUCAGGAGGAACACCGGUGGCGAAGGCGGGUCUCUGGGCCGAUACUGACGCUGAGGAGCGAAAGCGUGGGGAGCGAACAGG
rnacentral:rRNA from 1 species